CUACGGGGGGCAGCAGGCGAGAAAACUUUGCAAUGUGCGAAAGCACGACAAGGUUAAUCCGAGUGGUUUCUGCUAAAGGAACCUUUUGACAGUCCUAGAAACACUGUUGAAUAAGGGGUGGGCAAGUUCUGGUGUCAGCCGCCGCGGUAAAACCAGCACCUCAAGUGGUCAGGAUGAUUAUUGGGCCUAAAGCAUCCGUAGCCGGCUCUGUUAGUUUUCGGUUAAAUCUGUACGCUCAACGUACAGGCUGCCGGGAAUACUGCAGAGCUAGGGAGUGGGAGAGGUAGACGGUACUCGGUAGGAAGGGGUAAAAUCCUUUGAUCUAUUGAUGACCACCUGUGGCGAAGGCGGUCUACCAGAACACGUCCGACGGUGAGGGAUGAAAGCUGGGGGAGCAAACCGGAUUAGAUACCCCCGUAGUC
rnacentral:rRNA from 1 species